rnacentral:rRNA from 1 species
UACGUAGGGACCAAGCGUUGUUCGGAUUUACUGGGCGUAAAGGGCGCGUAGGCGGCGUGUUAAGUCACUUGUGAAAUCUCUAAGCCUAACUUAGAACGGUCAAGUGAUACUGAUGUGCUAGAGUGCAGAAGGGGCAACCGGAAUUCUUGGUGUAGCGGUGAAAUGCGUAGAUAUCAAGAGGAACACCUGAGGUGAAGACGGGUUGCUGGGCUGACACUGACGCUGAGGCGCGAAAGCUAGGGUAGCAAACGGG